UACGGAGGGUGCAAGCGUUGUCCGGAUUUAUUGGGUUUAAAGGGUGCGUAGGCGGCCCGUUAAGUCAGUGGUGAAAGCCUCCAGCUCAACUGGAGAACUGCCAUUGAUACUGGCGGGCUUGAGUACAGACGAGGUUGGCGGAAUUGAUUGUGUAGCGGUGAAAUGCAUAGAUAUCGUAAGGAAGACCAGUGGCGAAGGCGGGUCUCUGGACAGUUCCUGACGCUGAGGCACGAAGGCCAGGGGAGCAAACAGG
rnacentral:rRNA from 1 species